rnacentral:rRNA from 1 species
AACGUCGUGAGACAGUUUGGUCCCUAUCUGCCGUGGGUGUUCGAGAAUUGAGAGGAGCUGCUCCUAGUACGAGAGGACCGGAGUGGACAUGUCACUAGUGUACCGGUUGUGACGCCAGUCGCAGCGCCGGGUAGCCAUAACAUGGAAAAGAUAACCGCUGAAAGCAUCUAAGCGGGAAACUUGCCUCAAAAUUAGUUCUCGCCAUUAGAGCCGUGGAAGACUACCACGUUGAUAGGCCGGAUGUGGAAGCGCAGUAAUGCGUGAAGCUAACCGGUACUAAUAGCUCGAUUGGCUUGAUACA